UGGGGAAUAUUGCACAAUGGAGGGAACUCUGAUGCAGCGACGCCGCGUGAGUGAUGAAGGAAUUCGUUUCGUAAAACUCUGUUCUAUGGGAAGAAAAGGACUGUACCAUAGGAGAAAGCUCCGGCUAAAUACGUGCCAGCAGCCGCGGUAAUACGUAUGGAGCGAGCGUUGUCCGGAAUUAUUGGGCGUAAAGGGUGCGCAGGCGGCUUUACAAGUUGGAUGUGAAAUAUUGUGGCUCAACCACAAACGUGCAUCCAAAACUGCAAAGCUUGAGUUAAGGAGAGGUAAGUGGAAUUCCUGGUGUAGCGGUGGAAUGCGUAGAUAUCAGGAGGAAUACCGGUGGCGAAGGCGACUUACUGGACUUAAACUGACGCUCAGGAACGAAAGCGUGGGGAGCAAACAGG
rnacentral:rRNA from 1 species